UGAGCAACCUGCCCUUGGCUUUGGGAUAACCCUCGGAAACGAUGGCUAAUACCGAAUAUGACUUCGGAUCGCAUGAUCUGAAGUGGAAAGCUCCGGCGGUGAAGGAUGAGCUCGCGGCCUAUCAGCUUGUUGGUGAGGUAAUAGCUCACCAAGGCGAUGACGGGUAGCCGGCCUGAGAGGGUGACCGGCCACACUGGGACUGAGACACGGCCCAGACUCUACGGGAGG
rnacentral:rRNA from 1 species